rnacentral:tRNA from 1 species
AGGGGAAAGCUCAGUGGUGGAGUAUGUGCUUAGCAUGCAUGAGAUUCUGGGUUCAAUCCCCAGUACCUCUG